rnacentral:rRNA from 1 species
CCUACGGGAGGCAGCAGUGGGGAAUAUUGGGCAAUGGGCGCAAGCCUGACCCAGCAACGCCGCGUGAAGGAAGAAGGCUUUCGGGUUGUAAACUUCUUUUGACAGGGAAGAGUAUAAGACGGUACCUGUCGAAUAAGCCACGGCUAACUACGUCCCAGCAGCCGCGGUAAUACGUAGGUGGCAAGCGUUGUCCGGAUUUACUGGGUGGAAAGGGCGUGUAGCCGGGUUGACAAGUCAGUUGUGAAAUCCUGCGGCUUAACCGCAGAACUGCAUUUGAAACUGUUGAUCUGGAGUACUGGAGAGGCAGACGGAAUUCCUAGUGUAGCGGUGAAAUGCGUAGAUAUUAGGAGGAACACCAGUGGCGAAGGCGGUCUGCUGGACAGCAACUGACGGUGAGGCGCGAAAGCGUGGGGAGCAAACAGGAUUAGAUACCCCGGUAGUC